rnacentral:rRNA from 1 species
GACGAACCGUGCGAACGUUAUUCGGAAUCACUGGGCUUAAAGCGCGUGUAGGCGGCCCGGCACGUCCGUCGCUGAAAUCCCCCGGCUCAACCGGGGAAGGGGCGCGGAUACGACCGGGCUGGAGGGGGUAGGGGGAGCCGGAACUUCCGGUGGAGCGGUGAAAUGCGUUGAGAUCGGAAGGAACGCCCGUGGCGAAAGCGGGCUCCUGGACCCACCUGACGCUGAGACGCGAAAGCCAGGGGAGCGAACGGG